rnacentral:rRNA from 1 species
UGAGGAAUAUUGGUCAAUGGACGCAAGUCUGAACCAGCCAAGUAACGUGCAGGAUGACGGCCCUAUGGGUUGUAAACUGCUUUUAUAUGGGGAUAAAGUGGGGAACGUGUUCCCUUUUGCAGGUACCAUAUGAAUAAGGACCGGCUAAUUCCGUGCCAGCAGCCGCGGUAAUACGGAAGGUUCGGGCGUUAUCCGGAUUUAUUGGGUUUAAAGGGAGCGUAGGCCGUUUGGUAAGCGUGUUGUGAAAUGUAGGAGCUCAACUUCUAGAUUGCAGCGCGAACUGUCAGACUUGAGUGCGCACAACGUAGGCGGAAUUCAUGGUGUAGCGGUGAAAUGCUUAGAUAUCAUGAAGAACUCCGAUUGCGAAGGCAGCUUACGGGAGCGCAACUGACGCUGAAGCUCGAAGGUGCGGGUAUCGAACAGG